GUAUGCGCUUAUACAAAUGCGUAUUACUCACAAAAUGGAGCACCUUUUUCUAUCUUAAAUCGCAAAUUUAAGAACUACUAACAUAAAACUGACGUUGAAUAAUUUUUUACGUAAUCACCCUGAUAAGAACUAAAAACUUGACGAUUCAAGUACCAAUUACAUUGCACUUGCAAAAUAUGAGUGAAAGUGAAUAAAUAACGCAUGACAAUUAACUAAUUAAACUGUGUGACUGUGUUCAAAACGAUAUGUAAACUACAACGGUUCAAUUUGUUGACAUGGAAAACUUCAAGUUAAGAAACUGUUUCAAAAAAGUGAUUCCAACCAUAGUCGAUGAACUAUCUGAGAGUUUUCAUUCUGAUCACGAUGGUUCACGUUUAUCCAAAAUAUUCGACAUUGGUCCGGAGUUUUCCUCACUCUUUCAAAUCCUAAAUGUCAAAAAACGAAUCGGAAAAGUAAUCCAUUAUUGGAUUAUCAUAAAUGAAAGAAACUCAACUGUAUCAGAUUUGCUAAAAAUACUGGAGAACAAUGGGAUGUCGAAUUGUAAAGACAAAAUUCUAACCACGAUAUCAAUCGAAUGUCCUAUCUUUGUCGACAAGGAUGAAUCAGGCCACAUUCCUCGCUCAGAAGAACUCAGAGCAGCAUCCGAAAUAUUUUAUAAUAACCAAAGUCUUCUAGUUUUUGGUAAAUUUGGUGUCGGAAAAACGUAUUUUGUUAAACGCCUGCUACAAAUCUGCUCACAGGAUGGCGCAGUUAGUCCUAGUGAAACCAUUGUUUGGCUAGACUUCGACAAUUUUACGGACUCUUUGCACGAUGCAUGCUUAGAAUUGAUGGUGGAUUUCGAGAAAGGACAAGAACCGUACGACUUGGUAAUGAACGUCCUUAAGGCUCAACCUGAUCUCGUGAUUCUGGACGGGUUCAGCUGUACACACGAAGUGGGACGAGAAUACUGGACACUAUGUCAAAACUUCCAGAAAGAGCUUUACUUUAAACUAAUUGUAAUAAAUAACUGAGGAUGACAAAGAACGGGGGGAUUUCGAUUUGGUUAUACAAAUUGAGCCAUUCGACACUGAGCAAGUACGGAAAUUUGUUGGUGGAACUGAACUGGAACGCCUACCCCAUGAAAUUUUUGAUUUCUGUGCUGGGAAUCCCGCCAUGUUGAAUACAUUUUUAGGAUUAGCCAAAGACGGUAAACUAUCUGGGGAACAUGAAAUAAUGUCGAUGAUCCGAAAUCAUGUUAGCAGCAAGCAAGAUAUUAAAUCUCAACGUCAAAUUGGCAUGACCAUCCCCAAUCAAAUAACCGGUUUUACUACUUGACGUCUCAUUUACAAUGAGGUUCAGUCUAGACGUUCAAAAAACCAGCUCAAAAGAAGAAGAAGAAUCAAGUCCAGUCGAAUACAUAAUUCGGAAGGUGCUCGAAAUCUGUGAAAAUGAAAACAGAACAAAAAAUGACGAAAUUUUCAUCCUUGCUAUCGGCAUAAGGGGAAAUAACUGCUGCGACCUCGUCCAACUUUUAGAACUCCUUGACCCCAACCAAGACCGCCCCCCUGAUCCGAAAAAAUCCUUGAUAGAACUCCUUAAAGCUAACGGUGCUCCAUAUUGUGAAAAAUAUGUUCUCAACUAUGUACACAAACAUGAAGCUAGUUUCUUAGGCAAAGUUUUUGCAACUAAACCAAAGGAAGCGAAACUUAUUGCAAAUGAGCUUCCAGCCCAAUGUAGACAUGGCUCGGCAAGCACAGCAACCAAUACAGAUGGGUAUUCCACCUCAGUUUUUAGACCAUCUGGAAGUGACCCUGUCGAAAAUAUGGAAGAACCUGCAACAAGAGAAAAUGCAAAAUUGGCAAUAGAAAAAGCGCUGUCCUUCUUCUCCACCCCACAACCAAGAAGUCUUCAAUACGUGGCUCAACUCAUUCGGUCAUUUGUCACACCGGGGGAAACUCCUAAUUCAAACGUGAUAACUAAGCAACACCUCAGAAAGCUCAUGCACGCUAUUCAUCCAUACAUUUACUACAUACCCCGAAUGUGCGACGCCUUACAAAUAGCGAUUGAAACAUUUGACCGAUUCUCUCACGAAGAAAAGGUCCUGGCAUUGGUGACCGAGGAAUGGGCCAUGGAUGAAGAUCCCACAAAAUUUGCGGUACCUCUCGCUUCCAGAAAUAUACAAGUCCUCACCGUUGUUUUCACACGGGACGACAGUCCAUUCCCCAGAAAACUUUACUUCGACCCGAAACCAUAUUGGUUGUAUGUACAUCGAUGGCUCUUCGCCCUGAGCAGCCCAGUUGAUAAUGCCAACCCCUCAUUUUCCAUUCUCCUCGAGCGUGGCUGGGAGUUGUCGCCACGAGGGAAGAGUCGUCUCUUCAUCGUGGCCAAAAAUCCCAAAAUCAUGGACGAAUUUACCGCCAUUCUUAAUCACAUGUUUACCCGAGGGAGUGCCAUCUUGAACAUUUUAAGCCGUGUGUCACUCGACAUGUAUAUAAAUUCUUCGAAACUAACACCAAGUCUUCAAGUCGGGAGGACAAGUUAUGCAAACGCGGUUGCUGCGGCAGUGCACCUAGCGACGAGGCGAGUUUAUAGAAGGAGCGGUGGUUAUCCCGAUUUCGACAAAAUCUUGAACCAAAUAGUUGCCGAAUAUGGGCGUGGUGGGGCCGAUACUGCUAACGUACUUGCAAAAUAUGCCAAAAUUUAUCGGCUACGCAGUGAAGCUCUGGCCGGCGAGAAACAAGCCAGGGCGGCAAUUGCUCAGCGGAGACCAGUUGUCGCAACAUUUUACCUUUCUCAAAAGAUUAAGAGCCAAGUAGAUGUUAGACACCAAUGGGACGAUUUUAUAGAUUUUUUUAAAAAUAAUCCAACCGGGAUUUUGAAGUCUGAAGAUAUCGGAAACCACGAUAACAGCGCGGUUGGCGGGCACGCCGUUCUUCUCGUUAAAUGUGAGCCGGAUGGACUCGUUUUCAUGAACUCAUGGGGGACCGGAUGGGCGGAUGGGGGUUACUUCCGGCUCGAAAAUGAGGAUGUGCUUGGGCUCAAAUUUUAUGACGUCUUUUUCCUCAAGUCAGACUUAAAAAGGGAGGAAAUUCAAGCCUACAAGGACAAAGUGGUCGACGCGUUGGACACUUUCCUAGCACACAUACCAGAGGUUACGAAGCAAUUGCCGUAUGUGUGUCCACUGUGUAAAGUCAGCUCACCUGCGGCCAGUUUUACUGGAGAACUUGCACACGUGGAAUGUCCCAAGUGUAACAAAAAGUUUGAACCUGCCCCUAUAGGGCUUGCAUUGGGAUGGGGUAGUUCAAAAAAGAUUAAGCCGGAUUUUGAAGACUUCCGCUCAUACCGCUCUUCGAAGUUCCAUCCCGACAUGCCACGGCCGGGCAAUACCUCUACCGCCACGCCCACUAAGGCUGGCAUGCCUCCAAAAAUUAACAAAAAGGCGAACAAAUCUUCACUUCUGGGCGAGAAGAGUGAUAAUGCGAACUAUUGAGAAUUGUGCAAAUGCGAACCCUUUCUAAAUAAUAACAGCAUUUGAAGACUUUGUGGGCAACUGUGUAGUUGAACUAUUUAAAGGGAUGUUUGCAGUGGCCGCGGAGGUGGUCGGGACAUCUGGGGAAUUAACAUUGUCAGUCAGAUCAGGGAGGGAAGGGUUGACAUAUCUUGGACAGGACAGGGGACAUCGAACAAACGUGGGGACAUUCUUCCUCCGCCCCCACGCUUCCGCCGCCACUGGAAGUUUGCAUCGCGAGUCAGAUAUUUUUGACACGGUAAAAAUUAUCAAUCUCUUCAUAACUACAUAACUACAUAUUUGGCGUACUCACAACAAUCGCAACUCAUUUAGAACAUUUACGAAGCUCAAAAAGUUCAUGUAUUUAUGACUUGAGUCAAAAUAUGACUUGGCAAAUCUACUCUUAAAAGUAACUUGUUUUGUUAUUGUUUGAGUGGAGUUCUGUAAUUGGAUUUUCCCGUGAUGCCAAAUGUUUGCAAAAUUUCGCAGGUUAUCUUACUAUACUCUACUUGCUUGAUGAGCGAAGGUUCAAACGUUCGUUGUCUGUGGUUUUUGGCGACUUGUCCCCUAAAGCAAAUGUGGAUACAGACUGUGUAAUAUUUUUAUUCGCGGCAAUUAGCAUGCACCUUACGUACAAAAAAAUUGUUUUACAUUUUUAUGCGUACCUGGCUUUCCAAAAUGUUAUAUUUUUUUACCUUAUUUAGCUGUAUUAAUCUCAUCGUCAAGAACUUAUGUACAUAAUUAAAUAUGCUGGUACCUACAUAUAUAUUUUACGAUUUUUGGAAAUACGUAACUUUGUGAUUUUGUAAAGCAGGAAAUCGUACGACUUUGGCUAAAGUAAAAAUUCUUUUUUACUAUUAAAAUAUAAGUGCCACAUUAAAACUUUUCUAUAAUCUAGGUACAUAACUGAAAUAAAUUUACUGAUUAAUUAAAUAAAUAUC